CCCCCCAUUACCACCCCCCCAACAAUCAUGUUCACUGGGGGUUCAGUCUUAGCAGGACCAAGGGCUUCCCCUUCAACUAGUGCUCUUACUAGGCUAUUCACUGCUACCUAUGAGGUUGGAGCCCAGGGUCCAUCCAUGUAUAGUCUUUGGGUAGUGGCUUAGUCCCUGGAAGCUCUGGUUGGUUGGCACUGCUGUUCAUAUGGGAUUUCGAGCCCCUUCAGCUCUUUCAGCCCUUUCUCUGAUUCCUUCAAUGGGUGUCCUGUUCUCAGUUCAGUGGUUUGCUGCUGGCAUUUGCCUAUGUAUUUGCCGUAUUCUGGCUGUGUCUUUCAGGAGCUUCCUUUCACUUUUAAAGAUAUACUAUUUUUAUUACUUCAUUGAGAAUUUCACACAUGUAUGUGAUUUUUUAGUUAAAUUUACCCCCACUCAUUCCUUCUUGUUCCUCCUAGACCUCCAUGCAUUCUUCCUUUCUUUCCUUAUUAAAAUAACCUAUUAAGUCCAAUUUAUACUGCCUAGAAGGUCAUGGGUGUUGGGCUAACCACUGGAGAAUGGUUGUUCUACCAGCAGCCAUAGGCUUAAGGAAAACCGACUGUUUCUGUCACAGAAGCCACCAAUUGACAGGAACUUUUCAGCUUGCCUCUCCUGUGAUGGCCCCAGAGCCUCAGUAUGAUGUAGUUGCCCUGUCAGUCCUGUUGGCUUGAUUUCUUGCUUAUGGAUUUCAAAUUAGGUCUUUAGUUGAAUGAUGGAUUGCCGAGUGUGCAUCCUGACUCUGCAACACACAGUUUGACAUUGUACCAUAUGCUCUUUGCUAGUAUAGAGCAAGGAGGCCAUGUACGUGUGUGUGGUCCCUUCAGUUCCACAGGUGCUGGCUGAGGGCAUGGAUCUGAGAUGCAGUCAAUCCUUUGCUCUCUAAGCUGUCCCCAGGGGCACAGGCCUGCAUUCUGUAUCUCCUCCUCAAGCAAAGUUGACAUCUUUUCUAGCUCCGGCACCUGGACAGAACCUGUUCUAAUGCUGACCUGUGGCUAGCAUGUUUUUUCUUUUCUCUCUCCUUCUUUCUCUGUCCCUCCCUUUUUCUCUCUCCCUCCCCCUCUCUCUCACAGAGGCAUAGGUUAGACUGAAAGUAGAAGAGGGAAUUGGACAAGUACUUUCUAAAAAGGUUGAGCAAAUGCCCCACUGAUGGCACAGGUAGAGGAGAGAGGGUGAUCUAACUGGUCCACUUGUCUCUACUUCUGCAUUCCCUCUCAGCAUCCCCAGAGUCUACAGUACAUAAAGCAGCCAUAUAAAGACUUCACGUUCUUUCCUUCUUUCUUUCUUUCUUUCUUUCUUUCUUUCUUUCUUUCUUUCUUUCUUUCUUCCUUCCUUUCUUUCUUUCUUUCCUUCUUUCUCUCUUCCUCUCUUCCUUCCUUCCUUCCUUCCUCCUUUCUUUCUUUCUUUCCUUCCCCCCUUUCUUUCUUUCUUUCUUCUUCUCUUUCUUUCUUUCUCUCUUCCCUUCUCUCUCUCCCUUCCUUUCUCUUCCUUCCUUCCUUCCUUUCUUCCUUCCUUUCUUUCUUUCCUCCUUUCUUCCUUCCUUUCUUUCUUUCCUCCUUUCUUUCUUUCUUUCUUCCUUCCUUCCUUUCUUUCUUUCUUUCCUUCUUUCUCUCUUCCUCUCUUCCUUCCUUCCUUCCUUCCUUCCUCCUUUCUUUCUUUCUUUCUUUCCUUCCCCCCUUUCUUUCUUUCUUUCUUUCUUCUUCUCUUUCUUUCUUUCUCUCUUCCCUUCUCUCUCUCCCUUCCUUUCUCUUCCUUCCUUCCUUCCUUUCUUCCUUCCUUUCUUUCUUUCCUCCUUUCUUCCUUCCUUUCUUUCUUUCCUCCUUUCUUUCUUUCUUUCUUUCUUUCUUUCUUCUCUCUCUCUCUCUCUCUCUCUCUCUCUCCCUUCCUUUCUCUCUCUCCCUUCCUUUCUCUCUUUGUUUCUUUCUUCUUCCCUUUCUUCUAAGACUGUGAACGUUUUCUGAUCGUCUUGGAUGGAUACGCACUAAAGGCUGAGGGAUGCUAUUAAGAGCUUAGCUAGCAAAGCAAACUAAGCAGUUCGAGGUGACACAUGUUCAAGCAGCAUUCGCCUCAUGUCUACUGAGGGACAUAGCAGGGCCCUGGAUUUAUUCUAGGCGCAGGAGAAUGGGAUGACAGUGGUACCCGCACUCUUCUUUGAGAACCCCUGGCUCAGCAGAAGACAUCAACGAACCAUGAGACGUUCCGUGGAAAUGAGUCGCUGUAUGCAUCUAGGCCCAAAGACCAUAACCAAUACUUGGAGAGAUUUGUGUUGCUGCUCCUGAUAAUUGUACAUUAUAGAGUAUCCUUCCCGUUACAAGUGCUGCUAGAAGUUAGAACCAAUGUAGUCAUAUCAUGUGAAACACCAGGCUGAUUCGCCAGUCCGUUUUCUUUCACAAGUAGGUCUUAAAAAACACUUGGUAGUGUCUACUGUGUACUGAGUGCCAGAGAUUGCAGAUGAAAGCAGAAUUCUUUAAGAAAAAUUUAGAAGUUCUACUACAAAAGAAAGAGGAAGGGAGGAGGUGAGGGGAAGAGAAACAGAGGGAGGGGACUGAAUAAAUGAAGGCCUAAGGGAAGGAAGGGAGAAGGGGAAGGAUGGGAAGUCUCUUCCUGGGGAUCCUGGUUUGUGAGGAAAUGUGGUAGGUGUUGAUGGUGUCAUUUAAGCCUCUGUCCUUGCCUGGCUUUUGUCCUUCGCUCUGCAGAAGUGUGAAGGACAAAAGAGUCCCAAGGCCACUUCACACAGAACCCAGAAGGCUCUGCCAGAGACUCCUCUGCAUGCAGACAUGGCGUACCCCCAGGGAACAGGCAGAUGACAAAGCAAUGCUGGCCCAGCUUCUAAGCUUUACCCCACAAGCCUGAGGUCUAUUAGUGAAGUGGAGACAAUUAACAGUUCUAUCUUCUUCAUUGUUGUAAUUACAGCAACAGCUCUGGUACAAAUUAUGAAUCAUUUACUCUUUGAGCAAUUAACACCAAGGGAACCACUGGGGGCGGGUGCAAGAUGGCAUCUCAUGAUGCUGACAGAACUGAGGAGUCUCAGCUCCAGAUGGAGGAGGCUUUGCUUCAUGGUGCCAUAGAAGCAAGAGUUUCCUUCUUUAUAGAAAUGGGGGCUCUCACACCCCUGGAUGAGCAUGACUCACAAGAUCAAUGUGGCCCCCAUGUUGUACAUACUACUGUUAUGAGAAUACACCUGCAAAGUGACCGUGGCGAUUAGCUAGCAAGGACCUUAAAUGAAAUUACCCAUAAGGCAUUGUCCCUAGGUAUUUAACCAAAAGCAUUUUUGAUAGCUCUCUAAUUUGUCGCUUGGAGGUAGUCAAUAGAUUUUUCUCUGUAAUAGAUGCUGUGUUCCAAAUAUUAAAGUCUCUUAAAGUUUGCAUUGAAAUUCUACUCGCAAGCAAUUAGAAGGAUAAGGGAGGUCAAUAGACUAUGAAGGGGAGCCCUCACACUGGGAUCGGUACCCUGACUUAAGAGAUCCCAGAUAGCAGGCUACCUCUCCCAUUAUAUGAAGACACUGGGAAGGUGUUGCCUAUGACACAGGCCCUCAAAGGACACCACAUCUAUUGGAGCUUUGGUCUUGGACUCCUUAGGUCCCAGAACAAUGAGAAACAAAACUACUGUUGUUCAUAAGCCACUAGUUUGGUGGCACUUCGUUAAUUGUAAUCCUGUAAGCACCAAAGUAAUAGGUAUUACGUACAAUUCAGUGCCUCAAAGAAAGUAACCAAUCGUAUUGUCUGUAGCAACAUGGGGGUAACCAAGAAAUUAUCUCAAAUCUUGCCAUUGGCUUCAGAUCUCUCAAGUGUUGCCUCUUCCUCUGGUAUAACUCAUGCUACUGCAAAUGACAGAAAUACAGGCUUAAAUGGACUUAAACACAGUUGGGAAUCUCAUCUCUAGAAGGCUGUUAAAGCUGAUUUUCUUUGACUUGAACUGGAAUUAUACUAUCUCUGCUCUAGAAUUAGCUGAAUUUUCUGUUGGAUUUAUUUCUAGGCUCUGAGUAAUACCCCCCAGAAGUUCCGAUCCAUCCACUCACAAGGGCAGAUCCAUUCAAGUUGAGCAAACAUUUGAUCUAGAACUUCAUUCCAAAUACCUCGAAUUCGUCAUGGUUAGGCCAGCAUAGGUCUGAAUGAGCUAAGGAAUACAGAUGACCUCCUUUGACUUUUGCACAAGACUAAGUAUCAGUUCUUGAACUCUGUGGGACUCUGAGAGUCAGAGAAGAUGGAGCACCACCAAGAAAGCAGCAAGCUCAUGGUCCUGAGAAUCAACACUCUCAUGAGAGUUACCUUAGAGCAGCAGUUCUCAACCUGUAGGUCAGGACCCUUUGGGGGUCAAUCGACCCUUUCACAGGGUUCACCUAAGACCGUCAGGCAUAUCAGAUAUUUAUAUUAUAAUUCACAGCAAUAGCAAAAUUACAGUUAUGAAGAAGUAAUGAAAAAAUUCAACAUAAGGAACUGUAUUAAAGGGUCACAGCAUUAGGAAGGUUGAGAACCACUGCCUUACAGUCAAUCUUGUUGUAGAAAAUAUUUAAUCUCAAUCCGGGGCUUCUACUCUGUCUUUGAUCAUUUAGUUCCAUGAUAAAAGACACCCAAGUUUCAUUAUUUACAAUAAACCUUAGUCAGCUCUAGAGCUGGGGGGACAUCUACCCUCUAUGCUCUAAGAACCCACUUUCCUAUUGGGAACCCCAAGUUAUUACUAUGUUUCAUCUGGAUCACUCUUAAGUCCAAUUGGCCAGCCCUCAGGGCCAUGCUUUCUUGACUCCUAACCCAUGGCGUCGCUCUCCUCUCUCCACCUUCUCUCUCCUCAUGGUCUCUUCCGACCCCAAGGCUGAGAACACCAAACCCUACCUUUCUCAAUUCUUCCCAGCUAUAGGCAGUCAGCAUCUUUAUUCACCAACCAGAAAUGACUUGGGAGACAAGGUCACACAUAGUGUCACUUGGAUCUAUGUGCAGAUUAUCAUCUCUAGGGCAACCAGGUCUUAGGAGCCUGCACUUAGCAUCGCAACAUAGCAACAGACUAAACCUCAUCCAAAUCUCAAUUGCCCUGCACAACUCUGCACAAUAUGGCUCCUCUAGGCAUGGUCUGGAGCUGAUAGAAUGAACAGUUUGAGAUGUUCCUUUCAUUUCCUCCCAUCAGCCUCCGGGAGUCUUCCUAAAUUUGACCUCCAACCCCCUGACAUCCUUAGAAAGCAGCUACAGCCAUAAAUCUGAGGUGAGAACUCGAGGAGUAAACUAACGGGUAAUCAGCAGGGUUGUCUGAAAGAGGUGAUUUGACAGUCACUCACACUCCCCGGAGCACAUGAAGCAGAGUCUAAGCAGAUAUUUUCGCCACAGGAAUUUUGGCAGACAGCUAAAUGGUGGCUCUGUAAAUACAUCUCUGUAUACAUGAGGCUGGUAAGUAGGCCUGCUGUAUACAUGAGGCUGGUGGGCCUGUUGUAUACAUGAGGCUAUGUGUUGAGUGCUUUGUUAAUGCAUUUGUUCCUCACUAAGGUCUACCAGAGAAGACACAAUCAUCUACAUCAUUCAGGUAAAAAGACUGCUAGCCAGCAUAGGCCGAGGAAUUUCUGGAUCCAUAACAAGCAAGUGUGCAGCCAGGAUUCAAGCCCUGCACUGUCAACUCCUGAGCUGGGGUUAGCCAGCUUGCUUUAGCCUCCGUCCCUUCUUCCAAGAUUGUACACAACACAGCAUUCUCUCGGCUCACCCAUCCGAUCUGAGUCUUUUCUCUAUGACAACGGCAUGCUCCUUGCAGUAGGAAACUGGUUCUAAGGAUUUCCGGGACAUUAGCUGAGUUAGACAACUGAUCACAGAAGAAGGACCCGUGGUUGUAUACUUGGAGAUGAGUUUUUAGUGGAGGAGGAUGUAUUUCUUGGACUCCUUUAGAUCCAGUCUUCGCACUCAUCAUGAGUCUGGUGGUUGGCUAGGAAGACACCACUCAGCUCCCCACCUGCCUGGCUCCCUCACGAUAGUGAAGUGACACACUGAGAAGCCGCUCUGACUCAUUCCUGGAGUCUGUCCACGCCAGCUCCUGCCACCCCCGCUCCAUGGAGACCACACUUAUUAAGAUCUCUGAAGAUCCUUGCUCCUAAACCCAUGUGGAAAUUCUUCUUCACGGUCUCCAUGGUGCUUGGAGCACUCCAUGAUGCCUAAUAUUAUCUUUAGAAAGCUCUGGCUGGCUAAGGUAUUUCUAUGAUAUUCACUGUCAUGUGUGUUGUCUAGGACUGCGAAUCACGUUAGUGACAGAUCAGUCCCCAGUACAUUCAAUGUAUAGGAAUCCCAUCGGUUUGGACAUUUGGUUUACAUGUAGUGUGUGACCUAAGAAAUGUGUAGGAUGCUUGGUCCAUGGCAGGACUGAGGUGGUAGAAACUUUGGAUGUGGGACCGAGUAGAAUAUGCCUGCUGCUUCUUGAGUGUGUCCAGACUCUUAGGAAUAAAUCCAUACCCCCAGGUAGUUAUAAGAAGACAGAUCAUGACUCCAUCGUGGCUUCUCCUUGCCUGCACAUAAUCCCCUUCCCCAUGAGACCAGCUCCCUUCCUGUUUCCCCCUAGGCCGGGAUGCAGCCAAGAUGCUAAUACCAUGCUGUUUGGACUCUCUAGUCAGGAAAAUGGUGAACUAAAUGAGUCUCUUUCUAUCACCCACAUUUAGGUAUUUUUUUUUUUUUUGGUUCUUUUUUUCGGAGCUGGGGAUCGAACCCAGGGCCUUGCGCUUCCUAGGUAAGCGCUCUACCACUGAGCUAAAUCCCCAGCCCCCACAUUUAGGUAUUUUAUGGGAGGAACACAAAAGGCACUUAGAGGGUUUUAGUAUCCCACAGUUUUUAUAAAUGAUCUGAUUUCUUGACAGUUAUCAACCUAGAACCUUUGGUAAGGAGGUCACCGUCAUUACUCUCUAUCCCAUAUAAACAGUGAGUGUUGAGCUUGGGUGUACAGAGAGGCUUCGGCAGCAAGUUAAGGUGUCUCCUCGCCUUCACAACAGUAAGUCACAGCGUUUUGAUUGUGGUGGAGGCUAAUCACGUCAUAGCUUGGUUGGCACCUUAGCUAUAAUCUCUCAUCUUGCACCUUCAUUUAAAUAUCUCCGUACGUUCCUUGCUCCUAGCCCUUUCUUUCAUUUUAAAAUUUCUUUUCUCUUUGUUAGUUUUCUUUCCUUCUCACUCCCCCUAACCCCCGCCUCUUUCUUUUGAUAGCGUCUCAUGUAUCCCAAGCUGGCCUCACACGUCCUAUGAAGCAGAAGAUGACCUUGAAUUUCAGAUCCACCUGUCUUGACCUCUCCAGUGUCAGGAAAACAAACAGAAGCCACCAGCCUUGUUUAUAUGAUACUCGGGGAUCAAAUCCAAGACAUUUGCAUGUUAACCAGCACUCUGCCAACUGAGCUACGUCUUCUGCUCUGUUGAUGCCCAGACGGGAAAACAGAAGUCACACUAGUUACUCCAACACAGAGAGACUUUAGUAAAUCAUUAGGAGACUGACUCCUUCAAGCUGUGGUUGUCCAGGCUUCAAGACCAGCUGGAUCUGGGGAAGAUUCCCACAAUCCGAAGAGGUUGAAGCAGAUUUUGGGGUACAAAUGGCAUCUCUGGCAGAAAUUGGGUGUCUUUUUGUGGUCCUUGUUCCUAUCAGACGAGUCCUUGUACCCCAAUCAUGCCAUCUCUGAUCCUUGUCUCCCAUGCCAGCAGAGUUAAAUCUAUGCCUACUUGGGGGAUAAUCUCUGAGUUUUCUUACUACCUCCCUCUGGGCCCUCAACUCUGUCAUCAACUGGAUUACCAAUUUCCAAGGUUUAAUUCCUUCUCAUAAAUAUGUACGUGGUUUCUGUCUUCCUGGUCCCACCGGCCCCACCUGGCCUGUAUCAAUGGGGACUUUCAGAAUCCCCUCCAUACCCAUCCUGGUUUCACUAAAAAAAAAAAAAGCAAAGUCCUGGCUAGCUUCUCAGAUGUCUAUACUGCUGGGUCAGGCCAGCAAAUCCUACUGCCCACUGAAUGUCAGCUGAAUUACGGGCUUCAGAUGAUCCUCUAGUUAGAAAACUACCCAGAUUCAGGGGAGAAAUGUCCAAGUGUCUCCUCCUCCCAUGAUAAGCUAUGCUGGGGGUGGGGAAGAAGAAAUACAGUAAGGAGUAGAGACACACACACACACACACACACACACACACACACACACACACACGUGCGCACACACACGUAACACCACAGGCCCUUCGUCAUAUAAGAUGAGAAGAAGUUGCUAUCUACCUGUAAAGCAGUGGGUCCUGGAGGCUGGGCAAGGCAGGGAAGGAGAAUGGAGAGAAGGCUGCAGCAGGUGCAGGAGUCCAGUUGAGCUGGAAGAUCAAAGUCUCAUGUCCUAUGGAAGCAGGGUCACAGUGGUUGACAAUGGUGUGCUUCUCGUGGGGAGGAUUUGGAAUGCUCCUGACAUAAAGAAACCGUGGAUGCUGGAAGAUGGUGUGCCAGUCACCUUGGUCUGACCAUUACACCACUUGGUAGAACUUUCUUCCCUUUUCCAGACUCCAGCACCCAUCUCAGGCCUCAUUAACACCCGUCAGUACCCUGUGGAGCCUCCUUUUGUGACCCCUUGCUGUGUGAACAAUCACCAAGUAAGUGCAUUACACAGACAACCCAAAACAGAUAUGAAACAGACUGGUGCCUUCAAGUAGGAAUGGCUCAAAGCGAAGCAGGAUCAAGCUCCCACCAAACGAACAGCAGAAACUACACAGAAACAUUAACCCUGAUUUUAUGUUACCUUCAACACAAGGGAUUAAGGUGGAGACUGACUCCCUGCCUGCAGUCUUUGCAACGCCCUGGUGAGCUUUUAUUUUGCUUGUUUGAAAUAUUCCCACGGUCCCUUGUCACUUUUUCUUUUCAGGACCAUUCAGCUUCAGGGUUAGAGAGAGCUCAGUGGUCCCAGUUUGAAAUUGGCAGCGUUGGAGAAGAAAUACGUCUCUCUGUGGAUUGGACAGCGCCCCAAUUAAGGAAACAGUGUGUCCUUUCACGAGUCUGCAGCGCCCUGAACACUAUUUUGAUUCUGUUGCUAAGAUUCUGACAGUAUCUUGUACAAUCUAAUCUAGCACUGAGUUUUCUUUCUUGUCUCUUUAUGCUGAGUUUAUGGGAUAGAAUCUUGUGUAAAAGGCCUGGAUAUGAGAAAGAAUGGCUGUGGCCAUUUUUUUUCCCCAUAGAAACUAAGAAAAAUGGUCACAUGACCAAACACUCAAGUAAAGAAGUCUACUUAAUGUCAGACCUUCCAGAAUGAAGCAUCUGAAGUAAUAUGUCUCAUUUGGAGAGUAAUACCCCACAAGAAGUGUGUGUGUGUGUGUGUGUGUGUGUGUGUGUGUAUGCACACUUGUGCAUAUGUAUGUUGCUAGAGGUCAAACCCAUGACUUGCUACAUACUAGACAAGCACUCCACACUUGAGCUGUACCCAGAGAGCCUCUCCAUGGGUGCUUCAAUCUUGAAACAUUUUUAUACCAGGCUUGAAGUCACUUUCUCGGUCACAGUUGCUAUCUGACUUGAGAGAAGGCAGCACCCUCAUAGUGAUUCACUUGGCAGAGAGAGGUUUGCUGUCUCUUCUUCCAAUAAAUCGUUGUUGAGGAUCAGUAAGUAUGCCAGGCAAUAUAGUAGGUACUAGAAGUGCAUUAAUAAACAAAAUUAAUUAGUCUGUCCUUCUAGAAAUUAUAAGUGUGUUUGUACAAAAAAAUUAGCCAAGACAGACUCUCUCAGAUGUGCAUGUAUACAUACAUGUAUAUGUAGUUGUUAGAAUGAGAAAUGUCUCCCAUAGAAGGCAUUUGAGCACUCAGUCCUUGGCAGGUUCAGAAGGUAAACUCUUCCUGGAGGACAUAUGGAGGUCGCUUUUGAGAGGGCAGAGCCUCACCCUUGUUCCAGUUUGUGUCUCUCUGCUUUGUGUUUGAGGUAACGUGACCUCUCAGCUUUCUGCUCCUACUGCCCCGAUGUCCUCUUAGCCCUCUGUAUCCAUAAAUCUAAGUAAGUUGCCUUGGUCAUGGUUGCAAAAGAAUAACUAAUACAGUAUAUGUGCUAUCAUGUAUCAUAUCUGUUAGAAUAGUAUAUAUAUUAUCUAUUAUUUAUGUAUGAAUGGAUGUGUUCUGGUUAAUUUUCAUCACUAACACAACCUUGAGUCACCAGAGAAUAGGAAGCCUCAAGCUGAAGAACUGAAUCUGUCAGGUUGGCCUGCAGCUAUGUCUGUGAAAGGCAAUCUAGACAGACAAUGGGUGUGGGAGAGAGAGAAGGACCAUCCCACUCUAGGCGGUACCAACCCUAGGCAGCCAGGGCUCUCUCUGUCUAAGAAAGCUAGCUCAGCAGAUGAAGGCUAGGCUGGACCAAAAUUACAAGAAGGCUAUCCCAAGGCUAUCCCAGUUAGCCUGUACCAGAAAGCAACUGAGCCAACAAGUGGACUUCCUCCAUGGUUUCUGCUCCAGUUCCUGUCCUGACUUCCCUCUGUGAAAGACUGGGUGUGUAAGCUGAAAGUCUUCUUCCCCAACUUGCUGUUGGUCAGAGGGUUUUAAUUUUGCUGCUGUUUUCGGUUUACCACAGAAAUAAUAAAACAAGACUAGUUCGUGUUCU